rnacentral:rRNA from 1 species
GACGAACGCUGGCGGCGUGCUUAACACAUGCAAGUCGAACGGUAAGGCCCUUCGGGGUACACGAGUGGCGAACGGGCGAGUAACACGUGGGUGAUCUGCCCUGCACUUCGGGAUAAGCCUGGGAAACUGGGUCUAAUACCGGAUAGGACUCCUGGCUUCAUGGUUGGGGGUGGAAAGCUUUUGCGGUGUGGGAUGGGCCCGGGGCCUAUCAGCUUGUUGGUGGGGUAAUGGCCUACCAAGGCGACGACGGGUAGCCGGCCUGAGAGGGUGACUGGUCACACUGGGACUGAGAUACGGCCCAGACUCCUACGGGAGGCAGCAGUGGGGAAUAUUGCACAAUGGGCGCAAGCCUGAUGCAGCGACGCCGCGUGAGGGAUGACGGCCUUCGGGUUGUAAACCUCUUUCAGCUAUGACGAAGCGCAAGUGACGGUAGUAGCAGAAGAAGGACCGGCCAACUACGUGCCAGCCGCCGCAGUAA